UGCCCCGUCGUCUAAAGGUAAGACAACGGUUUCUGAUACCGUUUAUCGUGGUUCGAAUCCACGCGGGGCAUCCA
rnacentral:tRNA from 1 species